rnacentral:tRNA from 39 species
GCGCCCGUAGCUCAGCUGGAUAGAGCACCAGACUACGAAUCUGGGGGCCGGAGGUUCGAAUCCUUCCGGGCGCGCCA